CCCAAUCAGAGGCCACUGGGGCCUGCCUCUGCCCCCUUCUUCCCAAGCAGCUGCGUAUCACAGAAAGAACAUGGACUCGUGGAGUCCGCUAGCAUCCUUGGUUCAUUUGGGCCGUAAGCCUCAGGAAGGCCCUCCAGAAAACUGGGGACAGGACCAGAGCCGGCUUACCUGGUGCCACCGGCCAUCGUCCAGCCGGGGACCAGCGCUCACAGUCACCUGCGCCAGCUGAUUGUGCAGCUGGAUCUCGGACCUGCCGUCUCGAAGUGCCAGCACAAACCAGUCGUCCUCUGGGUUGGUGUCGCCGUA